rnacentral:lncRNA from 1 species
AAAUCUCGGGCGACAGGCUUUGCGAGACUUGUACCGCCCGUGUAGCCGAGUUUGGGUCAUUCUUUCAGGUUUUUUUUGUUUGUCCGCGCAUCUGAGAAGUGGGUGUAGGUAUGACCCUGUUGUUUUUCCCAGAAGUAAGAACGUGGCCGUGGACGAGGCUGGAGGCAGUCGCACUUCCGGAGACCUCAUUUCGGGAGUGCCUUCUCUAUACUGGCUCCACAGGGAAACGCACCUGGGGGCUCCUGACUCCCGUUUUAGUCCAUCCUUAGACCCCGCAGGCCCGGGACUACAAAUUUCGGACCCCCAGACUUAGAUGUUGUUAUGCAUAUGGAUGGCAAGGUUUCCUCCAGAUAGAGCCCUAGCCUCGCAGAUAACAUGCGACCCGCAGAAACCCCGCAGUCCUUCUUGACUUAAAAAGGACUUCCACUUUUCUAGUUUCUCCUCUACCUGUAAAGUGUCUUGAUGUAGGUGAAAAGAAGGAAAAAAAGACUACACGCACAAUGUAAGAGCAGUGAGUUUCAGUUUUAUUCUGGGAUGUUACUAGGGACUAUAGCCUGGGAAAUAAUCUCUCAGCUCUUUGGAACUCUACAAGAGAUAGAGGAGGAGCCAGUAUGUAUAUGAAUUUUUGGUCUAUGAAAUGUAGUCAAGCAUACAUCUUGACUACUUACCAUCAAAAAAACCCAGGUAGUUCAAGUUAAUGAUUUUAGUGCUUUCCCAAGUAUGGGAGGAUGCAGGAAUCUAGCGUCAUUGAAAUUCUUCCUUAGAUACAUAUCUUUGUCUAGGGGCCAUGUAUCCAAAACACAGAAGGCUUCAUCCAGUUUUUCUCUACCCUGAAUUCCGCUUAGGGUGAACUGUUAGUGGGGCAACUGCAGAGUUGAGGCUUAACCUUUUGUGUAACUGGGUGAUAAAUGAGAUUCUUCGUCCUGUUCUUACUUACAGAGCAUGGUAAAGAUGGAAGAACUCUUUGUUGUUGUUGUUGUUAUCUGAGCUGGAGCUGCAGCAAUGAUGGAUCCUUUAACCCACUGCAUCUGGCCAGGGAUCAAACCCAUGCCUCUGCAGCAACCCAAGCUGCCACAGUCAGCUUCACCUGCCACAUCACAGCGGGAACUCUAGGGUGGAAGGAUUUUUUUUCUUUUCUUUUUAGGGCUGCACCUGCAGCAUAUGUAAGUUACCAGGCCAGGGGUCUAAUCAGAGCUAAGCUGCCCGUCUACACUGAUGCCUAUGCAGCAACAUGGAUUCGCGCCUCAUCUGCAACCUAUACCACAGCUCUCACUGAGCGAGACCAGGAAUUGAACCCACGUCCUCAUGGAUAUUAGUCAGGUUCUUAAUCUGAAGAACCACAACAGGACCUCUGUGGGGUGAGAGAAUUCUUUCUGUCCCUAUUUUAUAGGUAAGAAAGCUUUUUCUGACUCCAUUCAUAUUGACUACUUGGAGGUCUAUAAAAAGAACUAGCCUUUGUGCUGUUCCUCCAUGUUGGUGGAAUCCCUUGUCUACUAUGACCUUAUUUCCAAACCAUUUCAGGUCUUCUCCCUCUUCUGUGUGCAAAGCACCAGUAAUAAGCCACUGUCAUCACCCUGGUGACCUGGGGUUCCUUUGCCAUGCCUCCUGAAGCUGUCAGCCCUUGGACCAUGUGCAAGGAAAAUCAAAAUGGAGUGGGCAUUAGUAAGAGAGCUCUCCAAAAUGGAGCCAGGAGGCCACUGGGACAAGGACGUGAUGAUAAACCAGUCUCAGUCCGGGCUUCUCUUGGUUCGCUCCAGCCUUGGAUGGGCUUUUCCCCUCACAUCCCAAGAUGACUACCGGAAGUUUCAGGUAUGUGGUUGAGCACAUCCCUCAGCUUUACAUUGCUCAGGCAAAUUUAGGGACAUGCCCACUCAGAACCAAUUGUGGAGCAGGAUGUGGGGAUGGAUUUUGUUCAGUAUGAGUCUAGUUUAGGAGCUAGAGUUAUCUUCCUCUGAAGCCCAUGGCCUGUGGAGAGGAGUGGAAUAAAAAUUAGGGUGGAAGAUGGAUAAACAACAAGGUCCUCUCAUAUAUCCAGGGAACUGUAUUCAGUAGCCUGUGAUCAUAAUGGAAAAAAA